rnacentral:lncRNA from 1 species
GCAAAUUAACCAUUUGGCCAGAACGCGCGGAUCCUCCCCUCCGGGUCGGGUCACCGCGCGGGUCUGGUCAUUAAAACGGCGCCGUUUCAUGUGCUGCAUAAAUAAAACAGAAUUGAAAGAAAAAAAACAUUUGGUUCCUUUUUAAAAAAAAAACAAAGUGUGGCUCUGCUAGGGUUCUUUUAACCCAUUCCGCGCCGUCGCCCAUCUGCCCCUUCACCAAAGCUCCGAUGACGGCGGAGAUGGUGGUGGCACGGCGACCUCGACGAACAGGUAAGUGUUUUUCCCUUCUUUUCUUUGUUGUUUUAGGUAAAAUAAAUAAAAAAAUAAAGAAAAUAAAAAGAAAUAUAUAAACAAAAAGAACAGUGAAUACUACAAAAUAAAAACCUUUGAAAAAAACAAAUUUCCUUUGUAUUUCUCUGUAUUUUUCCUUCUAUUCUCGUAUCUCUUUUCACUACAAUCCCCCCCUUUUGAGUACAUGAAAUAGCGCUUUUAUAGCCCGAAAAUUGUUUGCUAUUUUACAUGUUUUCUUCUAUUGGACUCUUUAAUCCGUGUUUGCAGGUGAAAGUGGAGAUUUCAGCGCGCGCAGAGGUGGUCGACUCCGGAUCUUGCGGCGGCUGGAGAAGUUGCUGUUGGGAUUUGCAGCUAACUGCUUAGGGUUUCUGUUUUGGGGGUUUGGGCUGUUAAUUGGGCCUGUUUUGAGUGGGUCUGGGCAUUAUUGG